rfam:Callithrix jacchus chromosome 10, whole genome shotgun sequence
CUACAAUGAUGGCAGUACUUUUUGUCAACAGCAGUUCACCUAGUAAAUGUUGAUACUUUGGGUCUGAGUGG